AGCAGCCGCGGUAAUUCCAGCUCCAAUAGCGUAUAUUAAAGUUGCUGCAGUUAAAAAGCUCGUAGUUGAAUUUCGGGACUAAUAUGUCGGUCGUGCCUCGGUACGUACUGGCUUAUUGGUUUCUCCUUUCUGAAGAACCAUGAUGUCAUUUAUUUGGUGUCGUGGGGAAUCAGGACUGUUACUUUGAAAAAAUUAGAGUGUUUAAAGCAGGCUCACGCUUGAAUACAUUAGCAUGGAAUAAUGAAAUAGGACGUUUGAUUCUAUUUUGUUGGUUUCUAGGAUCGACGUAAUGAUUAAUAGGGAUAGUUGGGGCGAUUAGUAUUCAAUUGUCAGAGGUGAAAUUCUUGGAUUUAUUGAAGACUAACUACUGCGAAAGCAUUUGCCAAGGAUGUUUUCAUUAAUCAAGAACGAAAGUUAGGAGAUCGAAGACGAUCAGAUACCGUCGUAGUCUUAACCAUAAACUAUGCCGACUAGGGAUCGGAUGAUGUUAAUUUUUUAAUGACUCAUUCGGCGCCUUACG
rnacentral:rRNA from 1 species